UACGUAGGGUGCGAGCGUUGUCCGGAAUUAUUGGGCGUAAAGAGCUCGUAGGCGGUUUGUUGCGUCGGCCGUGAAAACCUGCAGCUUAACUGUGGGCCUGCGGCCGAUACGUGCAGACUUGAGUUCGGUAGGGGAGACUGGAAUUCCUGGUGUAGCGGUGAAAUGCGCAGAUAUCAGGAGGAACACCGGUGGCGAAGGCGGGUCUCUGGGCCGAUACUGACGCUGAGGAGCGAAAGCGUGGGGAGCGAACAGG
rnacentral:rRNA from 1 species